UAUUUGCUAAGCUACUACAGUUUGUUUGGGGAUGAAAAUUACAUGCAAAAUAGAAAUACCAGCAUCUUCACUGUAUAAUCUUACCUUAAUUUUCUCACUCAUGAAGUUGGUAUGAGUAAUUAAUGCUCCAAAAACUUAAACUGCAUUUGUUGGUUUUGGUUCAUCCAAGAUCUUCUCAGCUAAUGACUGUACUUUUAAUGCUGUUAGUCCUGUUUUGCUUUCAAGUCCCCAGCCAUUUGGUGUGUGAUACUGUCUUUUUUGCAACUGGCAAGUCUAUUGCAGAGCUAAUCUGUUUUGAUUCAUAUCGUGGGGAUGCCACAGGAGUUGAACAGUGUCCAUUGCGAGUUGCUGUGCUUUUGUGUCUUUUACUCUGGAGAAGGAAAAUAGCUGAAUGAAGAUGAGAUGAGGGGGGGAUUCUGAGUGAUGAGGAAGGGGACUGAUUAGAGCAAGACAAAGCUGAGAUAGCAAAGAGCAGAGACGUAGGCUGUCGUGGAGUAACAUGGCUGAAGGAGUAAAUGUUGUAGAGAGAAAUGACUCAGGCUGUGCAGGCAGGACAGAGCGUUCUGUGUGAGGGCUACUGCUUGUGUCUUUCCAGCUCAGCUAGUUUGCAUUCCUUGCAGCCAGAGGGUGGAGAGGAUAUUGAGAAGAAAGAGGUGAUAAGCCAUGAGGAAAUGCUGCCGGUGUGGAGUGUCUUGCUAUGUCUCUUCUGACUGUUGAUGGUGGGAUUCUGUUCUAUGCAUCCAAGGGUGCUCGGGGAAGCGGCCAAUGUUAUUGCAAGGCCACUUUGAAAGGCCACAGUAAUCAGGAGAGAGUUCUGGUGACUGAAAAAGGGCAAACAUCAUAUGCUUGUUCAAGAAGGAUAAGAAGAAGGACUGGGCAACUCUGACACACUCUAUUUAGCCUGGGUCUCUGGAAGAUGAUGGUACACCUUCUUCUGGAAACUUGAAGCAUGUGAAGGACAGGAAGGUGAUUGGGAACAGCCAGCAUGGAUUUGAGAAGGGCAAUCAUGCUGAACCAACCAGAUUGCUUUCUGUGAUGAGACUGGCUCAGGGAACAAGGAGAGAGAAGUGGGUGGUGUUUGCCUUGACUUUAGCAAGGCCUUUGACAUGGUCUCUCAUAGUAUCAUCUUACCAAACUGGUGAGGUGAUUGGGUAAAUGGACUAUAAAUUGGGUGGAAAAUUGCUUGGAUUGUUGGGCUCAGAUGAUGGUGAUCAGUGGGCUAGCACACAGCGUGUACAAGAAGGGGCUGAGAAAACUGUGUUUGUUAUCACACAACAAUUUUAGAAAGAUAAAUACUUUGCUCCUCAGGGAAAUAAAUGCUGUGCUCCUUAAGAAAAAUAUAUUUAUUUUGGUGAAAAGAGCAAACCAGACUGGUUGUAGAAAGCAAGUUAAAAACAAAUAUUGAAGUUCCAGGAGGUUAUAUACAUUCUGAAGUCUUUCCAAAACCUUACAAUUUGAAAGCACUCUUUUUUUCACUGGUUUAACCACUCAUUAAUUCCAGCCCCCCUUGAAGUCCAGACAAAAUCAACAUAUCUCCAAGUUCUUGAUUAUUUCUCUGAGACACAUUUGCCACUGGAACUUAAUUCCUUGGGUGCUGGAGCUGUUUCUUCUUGUCUCAUAGUGGUAUUCUAGAAACAUGUUUUCACCUGCAUUUUUCUUUUUCAGUCUUGAGCAAAGUAACUUUAGUGGAACAUGUAAGCUUUGAUACACAGUAGGUUUUUCUAAAGCCAGAAAUUUAUGGCUAAGAAAACCCACCACAGGACUUUGACCAAGUGUGCUUGAAACAUUGUAAUUACAGAUGAUCUAGUUUCACAGCUCACAGACAAAGAAAAUGUGUUUGUUUUACUUUAUUAGAUUUCUUAUAAUGUGUUCAUACAAAACCAAAUGUGCAUGUACACAGUCUGUCAAUACUGCCAACUGCAAUUUAUUAAGUUUUAUACAUUUUUUCUCUGGGUCACUGUAUUGUUAAACAGACAUAGAAUGCAAGAUCAAUGCUAAAGAUGGGAAGGCUAAAUUUCAGAGCAAAAAAAUCUCAUUUUUCCCUUAAAAGUUUACAAGGGGCAUUUUUGAGGAAGUCUUAAUUAGUCAUAGGCUGAAAACCUCUCUUAAUACAGUUGUAUUUUUCUAACAGAAUAAGAAAAAAGAAGGUAUUUGGGCAUAAGCUGCAGCUCAUGCUGCCACUUUACUCUUCCCGGACUGCUGCAAAGCCCCUCAGUCAGUCAUUGUAAUCCAGAGCCGGAACUUGGAGCAGGUUUUGAGGAUAUAUCUUGUUGCUUUGUGAUGAACUCUGAGGCCCUGGGAAAAAUCUCUUGGUGUUGACAGCCCCUGACAGUAAAUGUCACAUGAAUUCGGAGGGAACUCAGAGCCUUCUGGUGACUGCUAUGAGAAGAGACAUGGUGACAGAAAACCUGAUUGAUGAGCCAUGCCACAAGUAGAGGGAGCGCUGUGUGGUGAUUGCCUAUAAUUGAACGGUCCACGGAAGUUAUUUCUGGGUUUCCUAUGAAUGGUGACAUACACUCCAGAAGGGUUUUCACAGGGGAGGCCUGCAGAUUUUAAUCCUGGUACUCGGCAACUCCCUGUUAAUGCAGCAUUAACAGACUUUAAAAUUUAACGGGCUGUUUUAGCUUCAAUGAAACAAACGACAACAGGAGAUGGUCAGUCAUGCAAUUACCUUUAGAAGCAUUCCUUUGUCAGCUUUUGCGGCCUCUUUUUAGUGCUUUCUCUUUGCAGCUCGGCUCUGUGAUCUGACAACCCGGAGAUGUUGAUUAUAAAGGUUCUUCCCGAUUCUGACAGUGCGCUCCUCUGACAUGGGCUUGUCGCAGCCAUGUUGAGCACAGCGGUGAUGCUCCUGGCAUUAAACGGGAAUGUGAGACGUUGUAGCCCACUCACCCAGUAAAGCAUCUGCUUGCACUGACCAAUUAAAUUGGCUUCUCUCUCAUUAAAACCCUUGUGCAGACUCUGACAUCUCCUCUGGGCCAUACUCAAAGACCCGAGCUGACUUGAACUGCUGAAUCCCUAGGGAAGAUUUCAACAGAGCUGUAAGCACUUGGACAUUAGAACCGUGCAAGGAGGAAGAGGGAGAGAAAUCCAAGCCCUCCCCCUUUCCCUUUGAAUAUGAAGGCUUCAGCAGCUGAACAAAAAGGCGUGCGACAGAGCUCUUGUAUGAUGUCCACCUCCCCUUUCUGGCAUCUGGCCUGAACAGUACAAUUGGGAAAGUCAAAUG